rnacentral:lncRNA from 1 species
GUGCUCUUGUGAUUGUGACUGACACAGGCAGCACCCUUUUGCAGAAGUAGAUGUGCGUUGCUGAGAAAUUUUCUGCCUAAGUUCUGGUUUUCUUUGCAGCACCCAGCAUUUGUUUCUAACACAGGGAAAGAGUGAGCUGGAGAAACCUCUCAAAUUCAAGAAAGCGUAAAGCAAAUUGAACAAUACGGGUGAGGAGCACGGACUAUUCUCUCAUGUUGAAUGUGGCACUUUUUACAUACAAGCAGGAGAGCAACUACACCAAGAUUUUGGAAAACAUGUUAUGUAAGGUUAAUUGUGACCUCUAUGAUGGGGAUAUGAUAAAGAAGAAAAGUACCUCACAGCGAUGAUUGGCAUGUGAUCACUUAGCCAAUGAGAUAAGAGGCUGUAGAAACGAUGUGAUAAUGACAUCUCCUGAGUUGCAGGUCCAUAUUAGAAGUGGAUAUGAAGUAAACAUUGAGCUUUCCUCACAUUUAAUUAACAAGCUUUAUUAUAGAUACAGCUCAAAUUAGUUAAUUCAGGAAGCUUAUUUUGUAGAAAUUAAAACAUUAAUAAACACAUACAUUUAGAAAUAAAGAACUCGGCUGACCCUUUGACUCUUUGAAACAAGUGGCCUUCCAUGCUGUGAAAGAUUGUAGCCACUCUUUGAGACAUUGGAAUGGUGUCCAUUGCAUUUUAUCAAGUUAACUAUAGGUCAGCCUGGGAAAUCUGAAGUUUCCUUAUCUCCUGUCACUGUGGUUGCUGUGAGAUUUUGUGUCAUCACUGUGCUGUCUUCCCUCUCCACAUGAAGGUGAGCUGUCUGGCUUCACUCUAACGUUUGUGAUUUCACGCCCGACCUGAUUGUUGCCAAGCAAUUCCUUUGUUUGGAGAAUUCUGUGCUUUGUUUAGAAUUUUUUAAAGGUUCUUUUCCUGUGGUCAGAUUUCUGUUUGCUACUGUGUCUUAUGCCUUGUUCUCCUACAGAGAAGAUUCUUUGAAGUUAGUGGAAGCUCAGCUUAAAGGAAGAUCUACUGCUCUGUGUGGUGGAUGACCAUGGGGGAGCGAGAAGGCAGCCUCCGGCUUUUGUUUUGUGUGUGUGUGUGUGUGUGUGUGUGUGUGAUGUACCUGGAAAAAUAACACGACUAGGAUUAAAGAGUAUGUUUGGCAUGUUUAAAAUAAAUUGUAAACCAAACGUAUUUUAAAGAAUUUAUACAAAUUUGUCAUUUAGUAAAAUGAAUGACUAUUGAGUAUUCAUGUCAAUAAAACAACCACUUGAAUACAACAA